rnacentral:lncRNA from 1 species
CUCGCGGGCACGUAUAGCAUAAGCUCUAGCAGGCGCACGAGCCUCGAAUCUGGUCGUAGCAUCUCUAGAUCCUCUCUGACCACCACUAGCAUUGCCCGUAUUUCCAGAUGGUCUACCUCGAGCAGUGGUAGCACCCGGUUUCCCACUCUGAUUUACAUUCUGUUCAGACAACCUCGGGUAAUCUUUAAUGAAGUGGUCAACUGAUCCGCACUUGUAACAGGAGCGGUCAGGGAAUCUACAAC